rnacentral:snRNA from 1 species
UUUCCAACAGCUCCAUGAU